CCGUAGGUGAACCUGCGGAAGGAUCAUUAUCGAAAUAAAUCUGAUGAGUUGCUGCUGGUUCUCUAAGGGAGCAUGUGCACACUUGUCAUCUUUAUAUCUCCACCUGUGCACCUUUUGUAGACCUGGAUCACUCUCCGAAUGCUAGCCAUUCAGGAUUGAGGAAUUGACUUCACAUUCUCUUCUUCUAUUUCCAGGCCUAUGUUUCUUCAUAUACCCCAAUGUAUGUCGUAGAAUGUAAUCAAAUGGCCUUUGUGCNUAUAAAUCUAUACAACUUUCAGCAACGGAUCUCUUGGCUCUCGCAUCGAUGAAGAACGCAGCGAAAUGCGAUAAGUAAUGUGAAUUGCAGAAUUCAGUGAAUCAUCGAAUCUUUGAACGCACCUUGCGCUCCUUGGUAUUCCGAGGAGCAUGCCUGUUUGAGUGUCAUUAAUAUAUCAACCUCUUCAGCUUUUGCUCGUUGAGUGUUGGAUGUGGGGGGUCAUUUUUGCUGGUCUUCUAUGGUCAGCUCCCCUGAAAUGCAUUAGCGGAACAAUUUGUGGACCGUUCAUUAGUGUGAUAACUAUCUACGCUAUCGACGUGAAGCAGUUCAGCUUCUAACAGUCCAUUGACUUGGACAAAAUUUUUAUUAAUGUGACCUCAAAU
rnacentral:rRNA from 1 species